UCCACAUUUUAAUUUCUCAAGAUGAGGUACCCUGCUCAGCUCCUGGGGCUACUGAUGCUCUGGAUCCCUGGAUCUAGUGGAGAUGUUGUGAUGACGCAGAGUCCUCUCACUCUCUCUAUCAAACCUGAAGAGCCAGCCUCCAUCUCCUGCAAGUCCAGUGAGAGCCUCCUGCAUAACGAUGGAAACACAUACUUGAAUUGGUACCUGCAGAAGCCAGGCCAGUCUCCACAACUCCUGAUCUAUACGGUUUCCAACCAAGUUACUGGAGUCUCAGACAGGUUUAGUGGCAGUGGGUCAGGCACAGAUUUCACACUGAAAAUCAGCAAGGUGAAGCCUGAGGAUGCAGGGGUUUAUUACUGCGGGCAAGGCACAAAACUCCUAUUCACUUUCGGCCAAGGGACCCAAUUGGAAAUCAAACGGGCUGACGCUAAGCCAACUGUCUCCGUCUUCCCACCAUCUCAAGAGCAGUUGAAUACUGGGAGUGCCUCCGUAGUGUGCUUUGUAGAUUCGUUCUACCCCAGUGAUAUUAACGUGAAGUGGAAAGUUGAUGGUACUUCCAAGACAGACGGCAUCCUGGAAAGUAAGACGGAGCAGGACAGCAAGGACCUCACCUACAGCCUCAGCAGCACCCUAACAAUGACCAGUACAGAGUACGAAAGCCAUAAUCUCUUUGUCUGUGAGGUCACCCAUAAGACUCUGACCUCCCCCAUUGUCAAGAGUGUUAAAAAGAAUGAGUGUUAGAGCUAGAGGCCUACCAGGCACCCACACCUGCUCCUCAGGUCAAGCCUCGCUUUUCUAUAGGCCUUUUCCCACAGGGGAUAGGCCCUGUUGCUAUCCUCCAACUCCUCUCCCCACCUCAUCUCCCCUCCUCCUCCUUAGCUUGAAUCAUGAUGAUAUUGGGGGGGAAACGAUGAAUAAAGUGAAUCUUUGCACUUGA